UGGCACAAUAAUACACAGCUGUGUCUUCAGCUUUCAUAUUGUUUCCUUGCAGUGUUAUUGUGCUACUGGAAGUGUCUCUGGUGAUACUGAACUUGCUUUUCAGUGAAUCCUUGUAGUAUAAGCUUCCAUCACUCCAGAUCCUUCCAAUCCACUCCAGAGCUUUUCCUGCAGGCUGACGAAUCCAGCCUGUACCAUAGCUUGUAACUGAAUAUGAGACUUUACAGUUGAUAGUGAGAGUGGCAUCAGGACGGACAGUCAGAGACUCAGGCUGAGUGAGUUCAUUUGAAUCAAUAC